rnacentral:miRNA from 1 species
CUUCCAGUAGCACCUUAGAGACCAACUAAGUUUGUUAUUGGUAUGAGCUUCCCUGUGCAUGUACACAAAAGGUCAUGCCAAUAACAAACUUAGUUGGUUUCUAAGGUGCUACUGGAAG